rnacentral:ncRNA from 1 species
UAAACGAUAUUGAAGAAGAGCAAGUACGUGUCAGAGCAUGGGCUUAAGAGAGUCGGUGGCUGGUGUGAACCGAUGCCCUCCUGAUGCCGAAUGGGCUUCUGAAUCGCUUCGCUGAAACGGGCAGUAGGCGGAGCCGGGAUGUUCUCUCCGUUAUCAAGAGAAGCGUAUCGAAAGGGCUGACUGUCCCCUUUCCGUAUGUUCCGAGCGAAUCGUUUAUGCGAUUAAUAAAGGUGGUACCGCGAGACCCUCGUCCUUUUG